rnacentral:rRNA from 1 species
CUGGUGGCGAGCGGCGGACGGGUGAKUAAUGCCUAGGAAUCUGCCUGGUAGUGGGGGAUAACGCUCGGAAACGGACGCUAAUACCGCAUACGUCCUACGGGAGAAAGCAGGGGACCUUCGGGCCUUGCGCUAUCAGAUGAGCCUAGGUCGGAUUAGCUAGUUGGUGAGGUAAYGGCUCACCAAGGCGACGAUCCGUAACUGGUCUGAGAGGAUGAUCAGUCACACUGGAACUGAGACACGGUCCAGACUCCUACGGGAGGCAGCAGUGGGGAAUAUUGGACAAUGGGCGAAAGCCUGAUCCAGCCAUGCCGCGUGUGUGAAGAAGGUCUUCGGAUUGUAAAGCACUUUAAGUUGGGAGGAAGGGCAUUUACCUAAUACGUAAGUGUUUUGACGUUACCGACAGAAUAAGCACCGGCUAACUCUGUGCCAGCAGCCGCGGUAAUACAGAGGGUGCAAGCGUUAAUCGGAAUUACUGGGCGUAAAGCGCGCGUAGGUGGUUCGUUAAGUUGGAUGUGAAAUCCCCGGGCUCAACCUGGGAACUGCAUUCAAAACUGUCGAGCUAGAGUAUGGUAGAGGGUGGUGGAAUUUCCUGUGUAGCGGUGAAAUGCGUAGAUAUAGGAAGGAACACCAGUGGCGAAGGCGACCACCUGGACUG